rnacentral:rRNA from 1 species
GCCAGACUCCUACGGGAGGCAGCAGCGGGGGAUAUUGCACAAUGGGGGGAACCCUGAUGCAGCGACGCCGCGUGGGUGAAGGAGUGCUUCGGCAUGUAAAGCCCUAUCGGCAGGGAAGAAGCAAGACGGUACCUGACUAAGAAGCCCCGGCUAACUACGUGCCAGCAGCCGCGGGAAUACGUAGGUGGCAAGCGUUAUCCGGAUUUACUGGGUGUAAAGGGCGUGUAGGCGGGGACGCAAGUCAGAUGUGAAAACCACGGGCUCACCCUGUGGCCUGCAUUUGAAACUGUGUUUCUUGAGUACUGGAGAGGCAGACGGAAUUCCUGGGGUAGCGGUGAAAUGCGUAGAUAUUAGGAGGAACACCAGUGGCGAAGGCGGUCUGCUGGACAGCAACUGACGCUGAGGCGCGAAAGCGUGGGGAGCAAACAGGAUUAGAUCCCCUUGUA